UACUGCCGCGGACGGAUCGCGGAUAGGGGUUGGCGCGCUGCGGCCUCGAGCGGAGGGGCGGCGACGACGCAUCUGAGGAAGUUGCGAUCGGUGGGCACUGGCUCAGAGUGGAGAGAUGCCGCCGGAGAAGGCUGCUGCGGCCUCGAGCGGAGGCGUGCCGACAACGCAUCUCGGGAAGGAGGCGGCGGCGGGCGCUGCCUCGAGUGGAGAGAUUCCGCAGAAGAAGGCUACGCCCUCGAGCGGAGGGUCUGCCGGCUCGGGUGCUCUUCACGGGAACUCUACUUCCCAGUACUCUGAAGAAUCUGCCGCCGGGCACCCUAGCAAGAAGGCGCGCACAGCCUCAAGUCUGAAGAUACCACAGAAGCACCACAAAGCUGAUAUAAGCUUGAGCGGAGGGACGCUGCAGAAGCAGAGCUCAGAGGUGGAGGCUGAUACCAGCUCGAGUGGAGAGGUGCUGCACGAGCAGGAGCAUCCCAAGCACUUUCAGGAAUCUGAUCCCAACGAGAUUGUACAUGCCAAGGAAGAAAAUAAACAUGUGCAAGAAGCCAAUCAUCUGAUCGAACAGCUGAAUGAGUUGGGCGGCAUGGGAGAGGAUAUCAGCGAGGAGGAGUUCCUUGCUUACCAUGACAAGCUACCUCGCAUCCCUUGUUAUAUCGUUGCCCGUAAACUGACAAAUGAGGAGCUCGAUGAGCAAGAUCUUCGCCACGCACUUUGCCGCUUCAGAUAUUACAAAUACAAGUUGAAAGAGGAGGGAAAGGAAGAUACAUUUGACCUUAAGGACGUUUCUGAGGCCGAGUGCGAUCAAGCGUUCUUAAAGAAACAGAGAUUUUUCAGACGAUUCGAGGAAAUUUCCACACUUGAUUGGUAUUUCCACCCUGAUUACUGCAAAGAUCCUUCUCUUAGUGACUACCAACGCCUAGUCCUUCGAAAUUAUGGUAGUAGCGAGUACGCCAGGUGGACUGAGUACCACGAGUUCCUUCAUAGCCAUGACGUUGAAGAAGAGUAUGUCAAGUUCUGUGAGGAAUUGUUCAAGAAGCUAGAGUGGAUGGAAGGUUAUCUAGAUUUUCCCCGGCCAUCUCAUAAGUGGGAUCGCAUAUCUUCCCGAGGAGCUUUACAAGCAAUUAAACUUGCAUCUACUACCUUUCAGAAGAUCACUGCGUCUUUAGCUUACUAUGGCUACUUUGAGUGUAAACAGAGCAUGGCCUAUGACCGUACUUGGUAUAAGGAUUUAGAUGGUGUUCAUUUUGAGAUUUGGUGUCGGGUCACUGAGAAACAGAUGAGUUUCAGAGAUGCUCUAGCGGAGGUGCACUGAAGCGUGACUACACCAUGGAGAGAUUGGAAUCGGAGUACCAUACCUGCACGGCAAAGGUUCCCCCGGGAACUGAAAAGGACAAGGCUAAGGAGUUGAUUGCAAAGGCAGUUAAAAAUCGGCUCAAUAAGCCGAAGACCUAUGCGCAGUAUAUCAGCAAGAAGAUACACAUUGCGCGCGUUGCUGGAAUACUUCCUCUGAAGGAUUCGAAGGAGCAGUGUAGUUAAGGUUCCGAAGAAUGGGAUUAUGAAAUUGGUCCAUCCCUUGCCCUUCUGCCAAAGACCUAUGUUUAUUUUCCUCUCCUCUGAAGGCGUUGUUUCUGAGAUUAUGAAAUUGGACAGUUGGUCAA